rnacentral:rRNA from 1 species
UACGAAGGGGGCUAGCGUUGCUCGGAAUCACUGGGCGUAAAGGGUGCGUAGGCGGGUCUUUAAGUCAGGGGUGAAAUCCUGGAGCUCAACUCCAGAACUGCCUUUGAUACUGAGGAUCUUGAGUUCGGGAGAGGUGAGUGGAACUGCGAGUGUAGAGGUGAAAUUCGUAGAUAUUCGCAAGAACACCAGUGGCGAAGGCGGCUCACUGGCCCGAUACUGACGCUGAUGCGCGAAAGCUAGGGGAGCAAACGGG